rnacentral:rRNA from 1 species
GGGGAAUAUUGGACAAUGGGCGCAAGCCUGAUCCAGCCAUACCGCGUGGGUGAAGAAGGCCUUCGGGUUGUAAAGCCCUUUUGUUGGGAAAGAAAAGCAUUCGGUUAAUACCCGGGUGUUCUGACGGUACCCAAAGAAUAAGCACCGGCUAACUUCGUGCCAGCAGCCGCGGUAAUACGAAGGGUGCAAGCGUUACUCGGAAUUACUGGGCGUAAAGCGUGCGUAGGUGGUGGUUUAAGUCCGUUGUGAAAGCCCUGGGCUCAACCUGGGAAUUGCAGUGGAUACUGGGUCACUAGAGUGUGGUAGAGGAUAGUGGAAUUUCCGGUGUAGCAGUGAAAUGCGUAGAGAUCGGAAGGAACACCUGUGGCGAAGGCGACUAUCUGGGCCAACACUGACACUGAGGCACGAAAGCGUGGGGAGCAAACAGGAUUAGAUACCCUGGUAGUCCACGCCCUAAACGAUGCGAACUGGAUGUUGGGUUCAACUUGGAACCCAGUAUCGAAGCUAACGCGUUAAGUUCGCCGCCUGGGGAGUACGGUCGCAAGACUG